rnacentral:rRNA from 1 species
GACGAACGCUGGCGGCGUGCUUAACACAUGCAAGUCGAGCGGAAAGGCCCUUCGGGGUACUCGAGCGGCGAACGGGUGAGUAACACGUGAGUAAUCUGCCCUUGGCUUUGGGAUAACUACUGGAAACGGUGGCUAAUACCGGAUACGACAACCGUCUGCAUGGGCUGGUUGUGGAAAGUUUUUUCGGCCAGGGAUGUGCUCGCGGCCUAUCAGCUUGUUGGUGGGGUAAUGGCCUACCAAGGCUUCGACGGGUAGCCGGCCUGAGAGGGUGACCGGCCACACUGGGACUGAGACACGGCCCAGACUCCUACGGGAGGCAGCAGUGGGGAAUAUUGGACAAUGGGCGGAAGCCUGAUCCAGCAACGCCGCGUGAGGGAUGACGGCCUUCGGGUUGUAAACCUCUUUCAGUACCGACGAAGCGCCGAUGAUGGUGGUGACGGUAGGUGCAGAAGAAGCACCGGCCAACUACGUG